GAUGAACGCUGGCGGCGUGCUUAACACAUGCAAGUCGAACGAGAAGUGGAGACGGAAACCUUCGGGCGGAAGACUUUACUUCGAGUGGCGGACGGGUGAGUAACCCGUGGGUAACCUGCCUCAUACAGGGGGAUAACAGUUGGAAACGACUGUUAAUACCGCAUAAGACCACAGCACCGCAUGGUGCGGGGGUAAAAACUCCGGUGGUAUGAGAUGGACCCGCGUUCGAUUAGCCAGUUGGCGGGGUAACGGCCCACCAAAGCGACGAUCGAUAGCCGAUCUGAGAGGAUGACCGGCCACAUUGGGACUGAGACACGGCCCAAACUCCUACGGGAGGCAGCAGUGGGGAAUAUUGCACAAUGGGGGAAACCCUGAUGCAGCGACGCCGCGUGAGUGAAGAAGUAUUUCGGUAUGUAAAGCUCUAUCAGCAGGGAAGAAAAUGACAGUACCUGAGUAAGAAGCCCCGGCUAACUACGUG
rnacentral:rRNA from 1 species